AUUGAACGCUGGCGGCAGGCCUAACACAUGCAAGUCGAGCGGAUGAAGGGAGCUUGCUCCUGGAUUCAGCGGCGGACGGGUGAGUAAUGCCUAGGAAUCUGCCUGGUAGUGGGGGAUAACGUCCGGAAACGGGCGCUAAUACCGCAUACGUCCUGAGGGAGCAAGUGGGGGAUCUUCGGACCUCACGCUCUCAGAUGAGCCUAGGUCGGAUUAGCUAGUUGGUGGGGUAAAGGCCUACCAAGGCGACGAUCCGUAACUGGUCUGUGAGGAUGAUCAGUCACACUGGAACUGAGACACGGGCCAGACUCCUACGGGAGGCAGCAGUGGGGAAUAUUGGACAAUGGGCGAAAGCCUGAUCCAGCCAUGCCGCGUGUGUGAAGAAGGUCUUCGGAUUGUAAAGCACUUUAAGUUGGGAGGAAGGGCAGUAAGUUAAUACCUUGCUGUUUUGACGUUACCAACAGAAUAAGCACCGGCUAACUUCGUG
rnacentral:rRNA from 1 species